CACGUAGGGGGCAAGCGUUGUCCGGAUUUAUUGGGCGUAAAGAGCUCGUAGGCGGCUCGGUAAGUCGGGUGUGAAAUUUCGAGGCUCAACCUCGAAACGCCACCCGAUACUGCUGUGGCUAGAGUCCGGUAGGGGAGCGUGGAAUUCCUGGUGUAGCGGUGAAAUGCGCAGAUAUCAGGAGGAACACCAGCGGCGAAGGCGGCGCUGUGGGCCGGUACUGACGCUGAGGAGCGAAAGCGUGGGGAUCAAACAGG
rnacentral:rRNA from 1 species